rnacentral:rRNA from 1 species
GUGGGGAAUCUUGCGCAAUGGGCGAAAGCCUGACGCAGCCAUGCCGCGUGAAUGAUGAAGGUCUUAGGAUUGUAAAAUUCUUUCACCGGGGACGAUAAUGACGGUACCCGGAGAAGAAGCUCCGGCUAACUUCGUGCCAGCAGCCGCGGUAAUACGAAGGGGGCUAGCGUUGCUCGGAAUUACUGGGCGUAAAGGGCGCGUAGGCGGACAGCUUAGUCAGAGGUGAAAGCCCAGGGCUCAACCUUGGAAUUGCCUUUGAUACUGGCUGUCUUGAGUGUGGGAGAGGUGAGUGGAACUCCGAGUGUAGAGGUGAAAUUCGUAGAUAUUCGGAAGAACACCAGUGGCGAAGGCGACUCACUGGCCCAAUACUGACGCUGAGGUGCGAAAGCGUGGGGAGCAAACAGGAUUAGAAACACCUGUAGUCC